rnacentral:lncRNA from 1 species
AUGAGCCUAGUUUAUCACAAGUCUUUAAAAAGCAAAUGCUCUUUUCUAUUUACAGAGAACCAGAGAGACAAUAGCAUGAGAAAGACUCCACCUGACAUUGCUGAUUUUGAAGAUAUAAGAAAAAUAGAAAGUCAAGGGGUGCAGCUGCCUCUACAAGCUGAAAAUAGCCUCCAAUUUGUGGAGGAAGCUCCUUUCACUCUUAUAUUACUCUAUGCUGAUGUCAUAAAUCAAUACAGAGUUGCCAGUUUGCCUAGGAGGACUCUCAUGGAUGGGGUUUGGGUACAGAUAGAAAGAAUGACAACAUUUCCACAGAAUAAGAAAGAGAAAGAGGGAAGACAAACGAAAACAUGUCUACUAAACAAAUAUGGCUUUGUUCCAGCACAGCCAAAUAUAACUUUACCUACAAAAUGA